GACAGAGGAUGCAAGUGUUAUCCGGAAUCACUGGGCGUAAAGCGUCUGUAGGUGGUUUAAAAAGUCUACUGUUAAAAAUUGAAGCUUAACUUCAAAGAUGCCGUAGAAACUUUUAAACUUGAGGAUGGUAGGGGUAGAGGGAAUUUCCAGUGGAGCGGUGAAAUGCGUAGAUCUUGGAAAGACCACCAAUGGCGAAGGCACUCUACUGGGCCAUGACUGACACUAAGAGACGAAAGCUAGGGGAGCAAAUGGG
rnacentral:rRNA from 1 species